GCCGUGUCGAUCACGAACUCGAUGCGGUCGGCACCCUCGUAGUUGACGCACCCCCGGCACACGGGCUCAGUGAAGUCCCAGAUCAUCGCCCACGGCAUGCGGGGCAGGUCGCACAGCAGCGGAUUGCAAUGCCAGAGAGAAAAAAGAAGUAACCAAAACCCGGGGCCAGCCUCACCAGACGGAAACGCCAGUCAAUGCAAAGAAAGCGCCUUUGAGAAAAGAAAAACGCGCGCACACACAAGAGGGCAGUGAAAGGAGAUCCUGAGCGCACUGCAAAUUAGUGAUUCAACCACUCUAAAAUUAGAAGCGGCGGUCAUGAAUGGGACUUUUUCUUUCCCCCCAACCCGUCCCACACAACCCCAAUAAAUAAAAGUGCCAACGUGUAGAUUCAUUGUU